AUUGAACGCUGGCGGCAGGCCUAACACAUGCAAGUCGAACGAGUGGCGGACGGGUGAGUAAUGUCUGGGAAACUGCCCGAUGGAGGGGGGUAACUACUGGAAACGGUAGCUAAUACCGCAUACCAUCGGAUGUGCCCAGAUGGGAUUAGCUAGUAGGUGGGGUAACGGCUCACCUAGGCGACGAUCCCUAGCUGGUCUGAGAGGAUUACCAGCAAAACUGGAAAUGAGACACGGUCCAGACUCCUACGGGAGGCAGCAGUGGGGAAUAUUGCACAAGGGGGGCAAGCCUGAUGCAGCCAUGCCGGGUGUAUGAAGAAGGCCUUGGGGUUGUAAAGUACGUUCAGCGAGGAGGCGUUACUCGCAGAAGAAGCACCGGCUAACUCCGUGCCAGCAGCCGCGGUAAUUC
rnacentral:rRNA from 1 species